GUCCUGUGCUGGCUCUAUCUCUCUGGUUUACCUGGAGGGGACUGGCUGCCUUCCCUUGUUGGCUUUUUUCUAUCUGGUCUUCUCCAUCCUACCUGCUUCCCUGCUGGCUGGACUGAUAUCUACAGAGCUUCCUGGUGUGAUCCUGAAUGGCCUGGGCAUCUGUCUAUUCUGUUCAUUUCCACAAAAAUUUACUGAAUUGACCUAGCCCUAAAACAAGGAAUCGGGAGCCAAUAUUUCCAUGACCACUAUCAUUUGCUGAUAUGCUAUGGGCCAAAUGGCACACUAUAAAGGAUUCUACAGGGUUUGCUCAGGAUUGGAAACCGCCCUCCACUUCAACUUUAACCUGAGGAGAAGCUGGAACAAAGCGGGCCAAUAAAGGAAGAGUGGAAGGCUAUUAUGAAAAACACCAGAGGAAAUCCUUUAAAGCGGCCGGAGCCUCACACCCAGGAGGUGCUCUCUGGCAAAUCUGAAGAAAGAGAGACAUGGCCCCAGCAUGUAACAGGUUCAUUGGGCUUUGGGAUCUGAGGUCUGAUCAUAGUAAGUCACCCAGUCUUGGCUUACCAUUUGGUUC